AUUGAACGCUGGCGGCAUGCUUUACACAUGCAAGUCGAACGGUAACAGGGAGCUUGCUCCGCUGACGAGUGGCGAACGGGUGAGUAAUGCAUCGGAACGUACCCAGUCGUGGGGGGAUAACGUAGCGAAAGUUACGCUAAUACCGCAUACGUCCUGAGGGAGAAAGCGGGGGACCGAAAGGCCUCGCGCGAUUGGAGCGGCCGAUGUCGGAUUAGCUAGUUGGUAGGGUAAAGGCCUACCAAGGCAACGAUCCGUAGCGGGUCUGAGAGGAUGAUCCGCCACACUGGGACUGAGACACGGUCCAGACUCCUACGGGAGGCAGCAGUGGGGAAUUUUGGACAAUGGGCGCAAGCCUGAUCCAGCCAUGCCGCGUGAGUGAAAGAAGGCCUUCGGGUUGUAAAGUACGUC
rnacentral:rRNA from 1 species